AUACAUCGUCCCUACUGGAUGAGGCCUACUCAGGCGGAGAGUGGGGUGGAUGACCGCUGCCCAGCUAUCCUGCCUGACAGUAUCCAGCCGGACUCCCUCGGAUUGACGGACUGGGCCUUGUCCCCCCCCUUUGGUCCGGUGGGGUGAUCCCAGCCCACACCCUGAGGUCCCUUCUGCAAAAGUGAUCCCAAGACCCAGGCUAGCUACUAAAAUACAGCACAAGCCACAAGCUACAUCUAUAGAGGCAGUAUCCAUAACCCUGCCAACUCACAUCAGGGAGUCAAUCCCCACAAACCCAGAGCUGAUGCCAUGUACCUGUCCAUGGCAGCCUGAUCGGCGGGGACACAGGGCCACACCACAUCGGGACAUGCCUGACCAAAUCUCCGUGGUCCCUGCACCCACACACGGCAAAGAGGGCAGAGGGGCUGCAAGUGGCACAGCACCAACUCACCUUCCCAGGCAGACAAGCCCUCGGACCUGCUCAGACGAACGGUACAUGAUGCACGACAGACUACCUCAUCAGCUAGCAGUGACCCGGACUGGGCCCCGAGAGUGCACAGCACCACCGAAACGAGGGAGAAAAUAGCAGGCCGCGAGGCCCAAAAUGACGGAGACACC